GCUAGGCACAGUGGCAGGUGCCUGUAGUCCCAGCUACUCAGGAGGCUGAGGUGGGAGGAUUGUUUGAGCCCAGGAGUUCUGGGCUGUAGUGCACUAUGGCGAUCAUCGGGUGCCACGCUAAGUUUGGCAUCAAUAUGGUGACUUCCCAGGAGCGAGGGACUACCAGGUUGCCUAAGGAGGGAUGAACCUGCCCAGGUCAGAAACAGAGCAGGCUAAAACUCUCAUGCUGAUCAGUAGUGGGAUCUCUACUGUGAAUAGCUACUGCACUCCAGCUGGGGCAACAUAGCGAGACCUCCACUGU
rnacentral:SRP_RNA from 1 species